GCUACGGUGCCAAGGAUGAAUUCCUGAUCCUGCGUCUUUACCUUGACCUUUUCCCUCUUUCCUCCUUAGGGUUGGUUAUCUGGCUGUCUGCACUUCUGGUCCUAAACAGUCUAAUUCACACUAGGCUGUGAGAGACAGUUCUGUGGUGAAGUGCCCCCUGUUGGCAGAGACUAAUGGGCAUCCACCAGCAAAGCGGAAAUGCGGUCUGGAGACUUAACCCAGCGCCAGAAAGCUGAGCACAGAAGGCGAGUCACUGACUCGGGCAGCGGGCAUUUGCUGAGUUCCCAUAAUGAGCGCCUGGGGCAUCUCCUGGUUCUGCAGAAGAAGCUUGCCUCCUCCCCGGCCCCUGCUUCCAUUUCCUGCUGCUGGAGCUCUUAGCCCUGAGCCUGGCUAU